rnacentral:snoRNA from 1 species
AGACCAUGAUGAGGACACUCUAAAAUGAGGUCUUUAAAACGUUCCAUACAUCGAGAGAAUGAUUCAUUAGGACUUUGGCGAAAUGGGAGAAUGUCAUUCCUAAGCUU